rnacentral:rRNA from 1 species
CCUACGGGAGGCAGCAGUAGGGAAUCUUCCACAAUGGACGAAAGUCUGAUGGAGCAACGCCGCGUGAGUGAAGAAGGUUUUCGGAUCGUAAAACUCUGUUGUUGGAGAAGAAUGUAUCUGAUAGUAACUGAUCAGGUAGUGACGGUAUCCAACCAGAAAGCCACGGCUAACUGCGUGCCAGCAGCCGCGGUAAUACGUAGGUGGCAAGCGUUGUCCGGAUUUAUUGGGCGUAAAGCGAGCGCAGGCGGUUUUUUAAGUCUGAUGUGAAAGCCUUCGGCUCAACCGAAGAACUGCAUCGGAAACUGGGAAACUUGAGUGCAGAAGAGGACAGUGGAACUCCAUGUGUAGCGGUGAAAUGCGUAGAUAUAUGGAAGAACACCAGUGGCGAAGGCGGCUGUCUGGUCUGUAACUGACGCUGAGGCUCGAAAGCAUGGGUAGCAAACAGGAUUAGAUACCCUGGUAGUCCAUGCCGUAAACGAUGAGUGCUAGGUGUUGGAGGGUUUCCGCCCUUCAGUGCCGCAGCUAACGCAUUAGGCACUCCGCCUGGGGAGUACGUUCGCAAGAAUGAAACUCAAAGGAAUUGACGG